rnacentral:tRNA from 1 species
AAACGGUUGGUCCAACCAAGAUAUUUGAUUUCGGCUCAAAAGACAGUGGUUAAAGUCCACUACCGUUAU